CAGAGUAUCAACAAACCUCUCUGCUUCUCCUUUGCUUCUUCCAAAAUCCAAACAAAUCCAAGCGUGCACGUUUUCUGUUCACCACACCUCUUCCUUUACAAUUACUCCACAUCACACCAACAAUACUAACUAAUUAAUAAACAGCGGCGUAGUUCCGGGGGUUGACCUUCUCCAGCAGUGGCGUAUAGUCACAACGGAAGCGGAGGCGAAGGCUUCGCGACGUCGUUUCCGGCAGCGCAGCAGAGCGGCGAAGGAAGGCGGCGUAGUUUCCGGCGGAGGCAGAGCGGCGAAGGCAGCGUCGUCGUUUCCGGCGGAGGCAGAGCUUCGGUGAUGGCUUUCUAAGGCAGGGAUACGUGGGAGGCGGAGGGGGCGAACGCGGGUGACGGUGGGGACGGCCCGGACGCCGGUGAUUGGCAAUCGGAGGGGGAGAACGCGGAGGAGGGAUUUGAAGGAGGAAGAAAAUUAGAAGAAGGAAUUUUGUGAAAGUGAGGCGGGACUAAGUGAUUCCCGUGAAAUAAUAUUUAGGGCUCACGGACGGAGGCCUAUUCCGUAGGUAAAAUCAAUAAUUAAAAAAUUUCUAAAUUCAACCGUUUAAACAACGACGGAGAUGUCCGUCACAAAAUACCGACGGAUCACUAUUCCGUCGUUAAUCGAAAAAAAAAAUUAAAUAAUAAAUAAAAAAUCAUCUUUAACUACGGAAUCCGUCCGUCGUAAAAAUAUUUCGUCGUUAAAUCCGACGGUGAAUCGGAGCUACUAUAACCGUCGUUUUCGGUCGGCGAUUCCGUCGUUAUUUAACAACGGACAUAUUUCUGUCGCUGAUUCCGUCGGUGUCCGACAUUGUUUCUUGUAGUGUACACACAUUUAGUAUAUGCUCGAAAUAGUAAUGAUAAUGGCAUGCAAUAAUGUUGUAAGGUUAUGACAUAAAGUCUUCAAGAGAAAAGGGUGAGUGCUAUACAAAAAAAAAGGCUUCAAUGCAAGAAUUUGCGACAAUUAGGAGUACCACACAAGCUGAAACAUUGGAUUUAGCGAUAAGAAUUAUACGGCUCUCUUCUUCACCCACACUCAUGAUCCUCAAGAAUGAUUAAUUAGGCGAGCUAUAUGCCCCAUCAUGCUGAGUUUGGUGAAUGUUGCAUGCAGAUCAUCACAUACUCCACCUCGGCCUUCAUGAAGGAGGCUAGUCCGUUUACCGGCCAAUCAGUGUGUACUUCCCACUGCAUUGAGCUUAUGUUGGAGAAAUCGGGGAGGAUGGAUCUC
rnacentral:lncRNA from 1 species